CGGGAGCCGCCGAUCCAAUCGUCACCAUGCGUGAGCAAAACAAGAGAUGAGUAGCAGAGAGAUUAGCUGGAGAGGGUCCGUCGUGUGCUCGUCGGAUUGCAGAGAGAUUGAGAGAGAGAAAGCUGCGCUGCAAAACAAUCCACGCCGCGUCGUAGAGUAUGGCCAUGGUGGCGCCGCGGUGAUGGUGAUGGUCGGCCCCGUCUCCUCGAUCGGCGCCCGGACUGUCAAAAAUACCUACAAGGACUUCGUCACCAGCGCCGCUGCUAAACCGCGUCACGCGCCAUGGUUGUUGCUAGUCACGCUCCGACCCCUGGUGAGUCUGUCCAACCAGCAUCGCCCCUCUCCUGUAAUCGGCCGUUCAAUUUCUGCAGAGAAGGAAAUCGUCGCGUCCUGCAUGUGUGCAUGGUCAGGAAAGAGAGGAAGUAGAAUGGCAUCUCGGAACCCUGUGCUGUGCGGUUAUAGUUGAGAGAGGAAAUCAUCCAUCGGCCCCACCCACCUGCACACAACGCACAAAUCUCAUGGCCACAUGCAAAUGGAAAAUAAAAACCACCCGUGGGCCCCACCUGCAUGUUGCAUGCAGAUUCCCUUGCCUCACGUCCUCACGUUGGCCCUCUAUGUAGCUCGUUUUUUUUUUGCCAAUGUGCGACAUCGUUUGAACCCACAUUUUAUUAAAUACACUUUAACUUUUGCGUAAGACGUCCAAUUCAUUUCUGUUCCAGUUAUGUUAGCUUUAUAUAAAUAUAUACCAAGUAGUAACAACAUUAUUUAUAUCAUGUCACAUAUUUUUUUUAAAAAAAUAGAUAUUUAUUUAACCUAUGUUAGGUAGAUUAAUCUCUCCAAUCAAAGUUAAUCUGUCAUAAAUAUAAUCUGACUAGAAUAUGGUCUCUAAUCAAGUUAUAACUUAGUUUAAAGUUAAAUUAGCUAUUUAUUUAUAAUCUUUUAUCACAUGAUUAACAUAUAAUAUAUAUUUUCACUAUUUAGUCAUCUCAGAAAAUCGUAUGUUUAUAACCGUAGCUCCGAAUUUAGUGAUUCUCGUUCCUACGCUCUCGUAGCAUCGCAUAGAAUAUUCCUACGCAGUUUGAUAUUAUGUUCGAUGUAAUGUUAAUUUUGCCAAUACCAUGUUUGUCUGUAUUGCUACGUUUAGCAGUGAGGACACGUGUCAUCUCGAAGAGCAAGUUGGUACCUGGAAUCUCAAGUCCCAGGCAAGUUGUGCCCUUGAUCACUUCUUUUUACCCAGCCAUGUUCUGAUUAAUCAUAAUGAUCUGCAUAGGUUAAUUUUGAUGGGACCCAAUAGGUUACCCUAGUUUGAUUAUCUUUAUACCUUGUUUACCACUGAACUUUUUGGGUAGUACUUGCUAGUGCUUUAUGUGGUUUUGGGUAUGAAGAUACAUUAUUCAUGAUCACACUUUUAUUAUCUGUUUAUUAUCACUGUUCAUGAUAAGAUCAUUAUGUUAAUUGGAACAUGGAGCGACCACCCGGGAAAAUAGUGCUACCACAAGGGUUUAAUGGGACGCCCUUGGCUGAUUAAUUAGGAAAGCUAGUGGAAGACUACCUUACCCGAAAGGGGCAAGGGCAGUAGGGGAGUGGUCAGUGUAGGGAGGCCCUCGGGAGGAUUUUGCUACGAUGGCGGUCCUGCAAGGGAUUCCUGCAUUGGAGCUUCCUAUAAACUGUAGCGGGUUUUCUGAAGCUAGUGGAACUUUGUAAAGGCCUCGUAGUGUUACCCUGCCUCACCUCCUCGGUAGAGGUGUAUGGGAAGUCGCGAUCCCUUGGCAGAUGGGUUACAUGACUUGUGGGUAAAGAUGCGCCACCUCUGCAGAGUGUAAAACUGGUAUACUAGCCGUGCUCACGGUCAAGAGCAGCUCGGACCCUCACAUGAUUAAUUUUGGAACUUAAAUUCAAUUUGUCAUAUGCAUUGCAUUGCAGGUGAUGUUGUUACUUUCGUUCUACUAUUUAAUUGGGUUGGUAUUUACUUAUACUUAGUAAUUGCUAAUAAAAUUUUGACCAACUUUAAAAGCAAUGCUCAGCUCUAACCAUCCUCUUUGGUAAGCCUUACACUUCACGUGAGCUCCCACCUUUGGCGAGUUCAUGCACAUUAUUCCCCACAACUUCUUGAGCGAUGAACGUAUGUGAGCUCACUCUUGCUGUCUCACACCCCCCCACAGGUCAAGAACAGGUACCGCAGGAUGAGGCGCAUGGAGGAUGCAGUGACGAGUUCGUGAGAGGUCUAGGUCGUCGUCUCCCAGUCAACUUUGGGUUGCUGGACCGUUGUCUCCUUAUAAUGUAAUUAAUUAUUUAUUUUGUAUAGAACUCCUAUUAUAUAGUAAAGUUGUGACAUUCGAUCCUGUGCCAUGAUUCAUCAUAUGUGUGAGACUUGGUCCUAGCACACCUGGUGAUUAUGUUCGCGCCCGGGCUUUGGACCCCUAAAACCCGGGUGUGACAGAAGUGGUAUCAGAGGGAUGUUGACUGUAGGACGAAACCUAGAUAGAACUGGACAACCAAUACUUACUUACAUUUGCCACUCUGAUUCUCUCUAAACUUUUCUUAAUCUUUCCUCAUCUAUUUUCGCUUUACUCUGAUUACUCUUACCUUUUUCUUCUAAAGACAAACUUGGAUUUCACACUUUGAAAUCAUGUGCUUAAAGUGACUUUUAGGAAUAGGAGACCUACUCUUAGGAACAAAAACAAAACUAUUAUUUUUUUAUAUGCUUGAAUGCUUGUUCUUAUGAUAUUUGUCUGAUUUGGAUCUUUGAUUGAGUGUGAUGAGUUGUGGAGUAAUAUCCACAAUUUCAUCUGCAUAUACACAUAGGUAUAAAAAAUAUAUUUAUAAAAUAACUAGACAACUAAGAAUAUCCUCCAUUAAAAUAUAUCUAGCUUCAUAAGAUCCAUCUUAUCUUAAAAGAUAUUCUCUUACCUUAAUAGAUUCAUCUCAUCUUAAAAGAAUCUAUCUUAUCUUAUCUUAUCCUAAACACUUUGCUUAUCUCACCUCGGAGUAACAAUCAUGAUCCAAUCCAAAUUAAUUAGAUCUUAUCUAGUUCAAGCUAGUCACACCAAUCUAACCUAGAUCUGAUCUAAUCUAAGGUGACUUAUCAAACAUGUUAGACAAUACUGAUGAAAUAGAUUAGACUCUACUCCUAUAGAACAUGUCUUAACUUAGUUCACCCUGCACUAAAUUAAGAACGACAGACCAACUUGGCCAUAUGCAACUACCUUAACCAUUCGAUAGUUGCAAAACCCCUCGAUUUUAACCUAGUAGGAGAUUCUAACCUACCUAUACCACAUAAUCCAUCCCACUCACAUGUCCUUAACUCGGAUGGCAACUCCAAGAAGAAAGGCCAAAGGAGACCAACCACGUCAAAAAAGGAUAAGCAUCAACUCAAGACUUCAAAGAUCAAGUUGGGUCGCUAGCAGAAUCAAGAUCCACAGUUCAGGAUGAAGUCUUUCCUUAUUAUACUCUUCCUUGCCACAACCUAUACUUGCCAUAAUUGUACCUCAUAUGACAUAAUAGAUGGCUAGACAUAUAUAUCUAUAUUUUCUAAAUCAUCUACUAGCAAGUAUAGAAAAAAAACUUGAAACAAAACUUUUGAUUCCUAAACCAAACUGGUUGCAUCCCUUUUCUACUAAUCUCGAGGACGAGAUUAUUUUUAAGGGGGUAGGAUUUGUAACACCCAAAUUCUGAAUUUGGGGAUUGGUAGAAGAAAUCUGAGCAAAGUACCCUUGAUAAAUAAUUAAACUAUAUAAUUCACCCUUUUUAAAGGAAAAUGAUCAUAAUAAAAUAACGAUGGUUAAAAUAAAUCAUAAUAAAGAUUAGACAUUAAAAAAUAUUUCUAUCAAAACAAAGGGAGAAUUUCUGAAUAUACCUUUAAUUCGACUACACACUCAAAUAAUAAUAUAUAUUGCUAUAAUGUGGUGUGUGUACUUCAUGUUGAAAACAUUACAUAAUUAAAAUAAUAAUAAAAUAAAUAAAGAAAUACUAUGUAGAAAUUGUGCAUCAUGUGGAGAUUUUUCUUGUGCAUAAAUUUGAAAUUUAGAAUUUAAAACUUGGUUUGAUUUGAAAUUGAAAUAAGAAAGGAAAAUAGAAACAAUAAAGAAAAGAAAAAAAAACAUAAGCCUGACUUGGACCUAAUCCCUCACUUUUAGCCCAUAUGCACUUUGCCACCCGCCAGCCCACUCCUGCUAUGGCGCUGGCGUAUGGGCCCCACUGGCCGGCGCCUCACCGCGCAUGCGUGCACUCUGCUACGCUGACUACCGCGUGGGGCCACGGACCAGCCCUCACCCGCUCAUGCAUGCCGCCUCGGAUGUCCCUCUGCCCUGUGGGACCUGCACUGUCAGGUUCUUCUUCCCUAGGGUCUGCUGGGGGCUUGACCGAAGGUUUGGCCCAGCGCGCAGGCACUAGGACCCGGGUUGCCGAAUCGAAGUUGCCUCCUACGAAUCUUUGCCGCACGCGAACCAGAUUACCGAUAUUGGCGCCGAAAAUCUAGGAGGCUGGCCAAUAGAAAACCGCUCCACGGAUGUCGCCAUGAUUCUUGGCCACGCGAAGUGCGGGGCCUCCUCGACCAAACUCUAUGGCGGACUCUGCCCUUGCCUCUAUAAAACCGGGAGCCGCCGAUCCAAUCGUCACCAUGCGUGAGCAAAACAAGAGAUGAGUAGCAGAGAGAUUAGCUGGAGAGGGUCCGUCGUGUGCUCGUCGGAUUGCAGAGAGAUUGAGAGAGAGAAAGCUGCGCUGCAAAACAAUCCACGCCGCGUCGUAGAGUAUGGCCAUGGUGGCGCCGCGGUGAUGGUGAUGGUCGGCCCCGUCUCCUCGAUCGGCGCCCGGACUGUCAAAAAUACCUACAAGGACUUCGUCACCAGCGCCGCUGCUAAACCGCGUCACGCGCCAUGGUUGUUGCUAGUCACGCUCCGACCCCUG
rnacentral:lncRNA from 1 species